UGUCCCAGGCCUCUGCAUCCAGCGGAGAGAGCAGCCACUCUUUACUUCUCCCCUCUUCAGCACAAUAGUGGCUCCUAGCCUAGGUGCCCUGCCCUAAGGAUUUCGAGCUGGUGGAGUGGGGUAUGGCCUGGAGGGCCAUGCCCCAGGCUGACCUGCCAGGCUCCUAGGCCAAUGGCAGCUCCUCUGGGUUUACCUUCUGGGACUGCCUCCUCAAGGUGAAAUGCCAGGGCCUUGAUGAUCCAACUGCAUCAUGGGCUGACUUCAGUCUCCUGAACCCCAGGACUCCAUCGUCAUCAAAGCCAGAGGUGGGGCAGAGACUCGCAGAGUAAGCACAUGGGUGGGGGGCAGAGCUGGUUUGAAUCCAGGCGAUGCGAGUGUUCCUCUAUUUACUGAGCACUUGCUGGAUGCCUGACAGGAGGCUACGAUUCCUUGGAUCGUGGGACAAGGGGCUUAGCCUGGCUGAGCCCCUCUCCCCAGGGUUUAAGUGGGUGUCACAGGAGGACCUCCCUGUGAGGUCCACCUUGCUGUCCUGUUGCUUUUCUGUUUGGCCUGAUUGGAGUGUUCCCAAGGGCAGGGAUUUCUGUGCUCUGAGUGCCUGGUACACAGCAGGGAUGGGAGGGGAGGCAAGGGAGUUAGAUGCCAGCCCUGGAGGGUGGAUGGGGCAAGCAGGACAGCAGGAAGGGAGGCUAGUGGUGGUGCCCAAAGGGCAGAGACCUGGGAACCCAGAGACCAAUGAUGGAAAGGGGUCAGACCUGGCAAAGGAGGGGGCUGAUAAGGGUGGCAAAUAGGCAGAGAGGGGCUUGAGCCACACACAAGACCAGUCAGAGCAAACAAACAUGUAGAGGAGAAAGGCUGGGGGCAAAGUCCUGGGGAGAGGACCAGCCACUGUCAGCAGUGCCAGGGCCACCACCCCUGGGGAGGAGCCAUUGGGCUACUCUGAGGGGCCAGAGGUAAGCCUCAGUAUUCCACAGCUGCUGCUCCUAGGGAGGAGCUGGUACCAUGAGUGUCAGGCGAUGGUUGGCCUUGCUGCUGCUGCUGCUGCUCCUGCUCUGGGGCCUGGGACAGCCAGUGUGGCCAGUGGCUGUGGCCUUGACCCUGCGCUGGCUGCUAGGGGAUCCCACAUGCUGCGUGUUACUUGGGCUGGCCAUGUUAGCACGGCCCUGGCUCAGCCCCUGGGUGCCCCAUGGGCUGAGCCUGGCAGCUGCGGCCCUGGCACUAACCCUGCUGCCAGCACGGCCGCCCCCAGGGCUACGCUGGCUGCCGGCUGAUGUGGUCUUCUUGGCUAAGCUCCUCCAUGUGGGCCUGAAGGUCAGGGCAUGCUUGAGCCGGCAGCCGCCUGACACCUUUGUAGAUGCCUUCGAGAGGCGAGCACGAGCUCAGUCUGGCAAGGCAAUCUUGGUGUGGACGGGACCUGGGGUUGGCUCAGUCACCCUUGGCGAGCUGGAUGCCCGGGCCUGCCAGGCGGCAUGGGCCCUGAAGGCUGAGCUGGGUGGCCGUGCGAGGCUGUGUGCUGGGGAGCCUGCCGCCCUCCUGGUGCUGGCUUCCCAGGCCGUUCCAGCCCUGUGUCUGUGGCUGGGGCUGGCCAAGCUGGGCUGCCCAACAGCCUGGAUCAACCCACAUAGCCGGGGGAUGCCCCUGGUGCACUCUGUGCUGAUCUCUGGGGCCCGGGUGCUGGUGGUGGACCCAGACCUCCGGGAGAGCCUGGAGGAGAUCCUUCCCAAGCUGCAGGCUGAGAACAUCCGCUGCUUCUACCUCAGUCAUACCUCCCCUACACCAGGGGUGGGGGCUCUGGGGGCUGCCCUGGAUGCAGCGCCCUCCCAUCCAGUGCCUGCUGACCUGCGUGCUGGGAUCACUUGGAGAAGCCCUGCCCUCUUCAUCUACACCUCAGGGACCACUGGCCUCCCGAAGCCAGCCAUCCUCACGCAUGAGAGGGUACUGCAGAUGAGCAAGAUGCUGUCCUUAUUUGGGGCCACAGCUGAUGAUGUGGUUUACAUAGUCCUGCCUCUGUACCACGUGAUGGGACUUGUCGUUGGGAUCCUCGGCUGCUUAGAGCUCGGAGCCACCUGUGUUCUGGCCCCCAAGUUCUCUGCUUCCUGCUUCUGGGAUGACUGUCGGCAGCAUGGCGUGACAGUGAUCCUGUAUGUGGGCGAGCUCCUGCGGUACUUGUGUAACACGCCCCAGCAACCAGAGGACUGGACACAUCCAGUCCGCAUGGCGAUGGGCAAUGGACUCCGGGCUGAUGUGUGGGAGGCCUUCCAGCAGCGCUUCGGUCCCAUUCGGAUCUGGGAAAUCUACGGCUCCACAGAAGGCAACAUGGGCUUAGUCAACUAUGUGGGUCGCCGCGGGGCCCUAGGCAAGAUGAACUGCCUCCUUCGAAUGCUGUCCCCCUUUGAGCUGGUGCAGUUCGACAUGGAGGCGGAGGAGCCUGUGAGGGAUAAUCAGGGCUUCUGCAUCCCUGUAGGGCUAGGGCGCUGGAUGAUGAAGAGUCCACCGUUGUUGAAAACCUCCAGCAGGGGAUUUGGCUGGUGGGCUCCAGGGGUUCUUGUUCCUGCUCCUACCCCCAGGGGAGCCGGGGCUGCUGCUGACCAAGGUGGUAAGCCACCAACCCUUCGUGGGCUACCGCGGUCCCCGAGAGCUGUCGGAACGGAAGCUGGUGCGCAACGUGCGGCAAUCGGGCGACGUUUACUACAACACCGGGGACGUACUGGCCAUGGACCGCGAAGGCUUCCUCUACUUCCGCGACCGCCUCGGGGACACCUUCCGGUGGAAGGGCGAGAACGUGUCCACGCACGAGGUGGAGGGCGUGUUGUCGCAGGUGGACUUCCUGCGGCAGGUUAAUGUGUAUGGCGUGUGUGUGCCAGGGUGUGAGGGUAAAGUGGGCAUGGCUGCCGUGCAGCUAGCCCCCGGCCAGACUUUCGACGGGCAGAAGUUGUACCGGCACGUUCGCGCUUGGCUCCCUGCCUACGCUACCCCCCAUUUCAUCCGCAUCCAGGACGCCGUGGAGGUCACGAGCACGUUCAAACUGAUGAAGACCCGGCUGGUGCGUGAAGGCUUCAACGUGGGGAUCGUGGUUGACCCUCUGUUUGUACUGGACAACCAGGCCCAGUCCUUCCGACCCCUGACGGCAGAAAUGUACCAGGCUGUGUGUGAGGGAACCUGGAGGCUCUGACUACCUGGCCAACCCACUGGGGCAGGGAUCAAAGCCAGGCACCCCCACCCCAACACAUUCUUUCAACCUGGGCCUGCGUGAAUCCCAGUCUGGCCAUACCCUCAACCUCAGUGGGCUGGAAAUGACAGUGGGCCCUGUAGCAGUGGCAGAAUAAACUCAGAUGUGUUCACA